rnacentral:rRNA from 1 species
CGGGUUGAUAGGCCGGAAGUGGAAGCACCGCGAGGUGUGUGAGCUGACCGGUACUAACAGGCCGAGGGCUUGACCAC